GACGGAAGGUGCAAGCGUUGCUCGGAAUCACUGGGCGUAAAGGGUGCGUAGGCGGCUUCUUAAGUCUGGUGUGAAAGCCCAGGGCUCAGCCCUGGAAGUGCACUAGAAACUGGGAAGCUUGAGUACCGGAGGGGAGAGUGGAAUUCCUGGUGUAGCGGUGAAAUGCGUAGAUAUCAGGAGGAAUACCGGUGGCGAAAGCGACUCUCUGGACGGUUACUGACGCUGAGGCACGAAAGCGUGGGGAGCAAACAGG
rnacentral:rRNA from 1 species